UAAAUCUGCCAUGUUUUAACUCUGCUGUCUCUGAUACUGCUGGACUACUUUAUUUUUUUAAUACAAUGAUAAUUAGAUUUAUCUGUCUAUUGUAAGACACACAAACAUAUACUUUUCUGCCUUCCUCUAGGGGAAAAUAAAAUAAGCUUCAUGUCAUGGACCACUUUAUACAAGUGCUUAAUGGGCUCAUUCCUAGGAGUUUGAUCUCAAGUGGGAAGGGGUAUCUCUCUGAAAAUAAGCAUAUGCACACUUUCAAGUUUAGACACAGAUGGAAUCCUCAAGACCCUAGGAAAAACUCAAUAAACGUUGGUUGGUUGCCUCCAAUUUCUAUUCUCGUCAUUCUUGGUAAGAGCCUUCUAACUCCUGUUUGAGGAACCACCAUAUUCUUCUAUACUUAACGCUGGGCUUAGACUAGAGUUGCACCUACCCCCAACACCAAAGGUAGGAUACCUGGACUUCUUGAUUGGUUUGGGGAUAGACAGAUGCUCAGGACCAAGCUAGCCUAGCUCAUCACACUGUGAUAUGUUCACCACAGGGGUUAACAUAGGGUCAUCUGUAUU
rnacentral:lncRNA from 1 species